GUCCACGCCGUAAACGAUGUCUACUAGCUGUUCGUGGUCUUGUACCGUGAGUAGCGCAGCUAACGCAUUAAGUAGACCGCCUGGGGAGUACGGUCGCAAGAUUAAAACUCAAAUGAAUUGACGGGGGCCCGCACAAGCGGUGGAGCAUGUGGUUUAAUUCGACGCAACGCGAAGAACCUUACCUACUCUUGACAUCUACAGAAGACUGCAGAGAUGCGGUUGUGCCUUCGGGAACUGUAAGACAGGUGCUGCAUGGCUGUCGU
rnacentral:rRNA from 1 species